rnacentral:rRNA from 1 species
CAGCCGCCGCGGGAAUACGAAGGUCCCGAGCGUUGUUCGGAAUCACUGGGCGUAAAGGGAGCGUAGGCGGCGUGGUAAGUCAGAUGUGAAAUCCCGGGGCUCAACCCCGGAACUGCAUCCGAUACUGCCGUGCUAGAGGAUUGGAGAGGUAGCUGGAAUUCUUGGUGUAGCAGUGAAAUGCGUGGAGAUCGGGAGGAACAUCAGUGGCGAAGGCGGCCAUCUGGGACAACACUGACGCUGAGGCACGAAAGCGUGGGGAGCAAACAGGAUUAGAUACCCCCGUAGUCCCUGUCUCUUAUAC